AUGCAAGUCGGACGGAGCUUAGAGAGCUUGCUUUUUAAGCUUAGUGGCGAACGGGUGAGUAACGCGUGAGUAACCUGCCCUAGAGUGGGGGACAACAGUUGGAAACGACUGCUAAUACCGCAUAAGCCCACGGUACCGCAUGGUACUGAGGGAAAAGGAUUUAUUCGCUUUAGGAUGGACUCGCGUCCAAUUAGCUAGUUGGUGAGGUAACGGCCCACCAAGGCGACGAUUGGUAGCCGGACUGGGAGGUUGAACGGCCACAUUGGGACUGAGACACGGCCCAGACUCCUACGGGAGGCAGCAGUGGGGGAUAUUGCACAAUGGGGGAAACCCUGAUGCAGCGACGCCGCGUGGAGGAAGAAGGUUUUCGGAUUGUAAACUCCUGUCGUUAGGGACGAUAAUGACGGUACCUAACAAGAAAGCACCGGCUAACUACGUGCCAGCAGCCGCGGUAAAACGUAGGGUGCAAGCGUUGUCCGGAAUUACUGGGUGUAAAGGGAGCGCAGGCGGGAAGACAAGUUGGAAGUGAAAACCAUGGGCUCAACCCAUGAAUUGCUUUCAAAACUGUUUUUCUUGAGUAGUGCAGAGGUAGAUGGAAUUCCCGGUGUAGCGGUGGAAUGCGUAGAUAUCGGGAGGAACACCAGUGGCGAAGGCGGUCUACUGGGCACCAACUGACGCUGAGGCUCGAAAGCAUGGGUAGCAAACAGGAUUAGAUACCCUGGUAGUCCAUGCCGUAAACGAUGAUUACUAGGUGUUGGGGGAUUGACCC
rnacentral:rRNA from 1 species